AGCAGCAAACCAAUACUUUUAUAUUUAUAUCUUGUGGGGUUAACAUUUCAGAACUGAACUACACAUCCGUGGACAAAAAGUUGCACACAUAUCAAGAAAAAUAUCCUAUUCGCUAAGUAGCUGGAGUCUUUCCAUAAGCUGCAGGCAGGAACUGAUUUAUUUGUGCAUCCUUCUUCUGCUCAUUUCUCCUCUGCGUCCUCACUUAUUCUGCUAAGUUGCUUGAAAAAAAAUAGCUUCCCAUAGCUCUUUUGACCUGUAAAGCACAACGUUAGUUGAAGGAUACCAAAGAUGAAACAACUAGUAGACAUCUACUAUAAUUUUAGUUAAAGACCUCUUAUGACCAUUGAAAUAUUUUUUCCUCUAAUACUCUCCUUUUUUCCCUAAUACUCAUUAGGAUGCUGUCACAUGUAAGCUCUCUUGAAUGAUUAUGGUAGCUAGAUUUUAACAAGUACAGAAUUGAUUGAAAGGAUGUCAAAUGAACAUAGUGAUUCAAGUUAUGGUGUUAUGAACUUUUUACCUCCAAAUAUGUGAUUGGUUGCCCAUGUUUCGGCAAGAAACAAUUCAUUAGUUGUCCCAUGUCGGAAUAUGCAAUUGGUCCAAAUCUUGAUUUCUUUGCUGGACAGCUGAGAUGUUGAAUAAGAAUUGCAGCGGACCCUUCACUGGCAAUACCAAUUUUCAUUGGCCUAUGCAAUUAUAUUUACGUGCCUAAUUUCGACAAGAUUUAAACUCAAAAUUUCGCUAAAAUCUGUCACACCUUUCCAUCUUGCCCUGCAUACUGCAUAAUUAAUAUAAGUAAGACAAUUCAUAUGUGAGGUCAGUCUCUAAACAUCAGAAUGCAAUCCAACACCGUCAUGGGUAUGGUAGUAGAAGCAAAUGAAACAUGCGCAAUAGAUCUGAUGCUUGUGUUUAUUCAGAUUAAUAAUUAGAAUCUAUGUACAAUUUCUAACAAGCACCACAGGAAUGUAUUGCAAUUUACUCAUUAAAAACAUAUUGUAUUGCAGGUAGUGAAUGAAUUAGCGAGAAAUGGCACCGGGGAUAAUCUUUUCAGAAAUCUACGGAAAGCUAUUUGAUCAUCUCCGAUUCCUAAUAAAAUGGAGAACUACUGUAGACAACCUUGCCACGAAAUGAAACAAAUUAGAAAGUAAUAAAAGAAUUCAUAUCAUGAUUUAUAUUGUGGAAAUACCUCACGAAUGUCUAUGAGAUAAUAAAUAGGAAACUCAUUUGAAAUAAAACUCAAGACCAAUACAUAUGCAAUUUCAUUCGAUUUUGGCAGACAACUCAAAGAAGUAAAUAUAUCAUAGUUUAAUUAUUGGCAAUUUUCUGAUGUUCUAAAGUAUGCGAGGAACGAGGAUAGUUAGAAGUUAGGACAUUUCUUGGUAGAUGGUAUACAUAUUGGCAACAUAGUGCUCUUCCAGACAGAUGUUAGCCUAGUUGGGACUCAUUGCAUAUUCACUGGGAACACUAAUUUUCAUGUGUGAGAAAACGGCCUCUUAUUUAUUCUGGUGGACCAAAUAUAUACAUGUAAUUAGGAACGGCAGAGUGGUAACUAACACCUACAUACCAGCUACAUCCACAUCUACCGUACAUAUGAUAUCUCGGUUAAUGUGGCAGUUAUGUAUAUCAAAGAAAGAGGAAACUGCAUACCGGCCUGAGCCAUGUUCUUAUGAUCAUGCAACACGCAAAUUCUUGCCAAGCAUCCGUGAAAAUAGGAUCUGGGUGACAUAAAUCACAAGAUAUGUAAAUGUAGAAUAUGUUAAAUGUUGCACUUACCACUAGAACAUUCCAUCGUUAAUAUGGUACCAUCCAUGUUUUUGCUAGCUGAAACAAGGACCAAACUGAAAAGUGAUAAACAAGUACAUAUGAAGCACCUUUCAUGAUGAUGUGUUCAGCACACUCACUUUUAUAAGCAGGAAACAAUAGGGGAUAAUCCACUUGCAAUUUACUAAAAAUGGACGGUGAAUGUGUACAUCAAAUUAUCAUGGUUGCCACAGCAUGCCUGUGAUGCCUCAAGAAUGUACCUAAGCCAUGUCUUGGUUAACUUACCAGGCUAACCUGCAUCACCCCCAUGUCUAGGACUCUAGGUUAACUUACCAGGCUGUAUCAGAUGGUAGGCAAAUGACAAUUAGCUUAGCAGGCGUAUGUGAUCAAACUAAGUGUGAAACUGCAUCUAGUUUGAAUCUUUUUCAAUACAUACUUGGCUUGGUCUGAUACUCUGAUCUUACUUAGGCCUAAUUAAGAUGCAAAAUCUUCCCAGAAUGGUAUAGUUGUGAAACAUACUGAGCAUCUACAGAGCUAAAGUAAAAAAAAUUCCAUGAAAACAAUAUGUAUAGUUCAUUGGUGGUGGACCAAGAACUACGGCUUCUCUGCCACACAAAGACAUGUCAAGCCAGAACUCAUAAAGUGCAGACCACGUAGUUAUGUUAUUUUGCUUCAUAAGUAGUAGGGCAAACCAAGUGAUACUAGGUUGUGAAAGCUAAAAUUAUACAUCAUUAAAAAUGAAAGGUAGGAAUCAUGUUGUGAUUGCAGAUUAUAGUGGAAUUCUCUUGAAACAAGUACCCGAGCUUACAAUCUUGUUGUGACGGCUGGUUCAGUCCUUUGAGGGUUUUUUUUUUGCAAAACAUACAAUGCGACAAGUUUUUUGGGACGGAGGGAGUACAUUUUUUAGGGGUUCUUACAACAAGUAAACGCAAUCUAGUAAUGGCAAGUCAUUUUAUCAUACUAGCGUAAUGGUAUUCGAGGGAGCACCUGCUUGAAGUGUCCAGAAAACCAGAUUAAUGUAUUCGCUCCUUUCCUCCCAAAAGAAUGAUCUGGCGAAAUUCGUUAGUUAAAGUGAGAUGAAGAACAAAAAAUAUGUACACAAGUUGCAGGACGCACCACCAAUCGGAUUGCUCCAUCAGAUCUGAUGCAUGAGUUCUCUGGUUGAUGGUGGUUUGUCCUAACUGUGAGAUUUUGUUGACAACUAAUCUGGAUAUAAAAGGCGUGAAUGCAUAAAUGAAUGAUGUACCUUGUUGAUUUAAUGGUAUAACUUGUGGACGGGAUGGGAUUGGAGGGAGCGUGGAGGAGUUUUGGCUGGAAGUUGACGUCGGCGUGGAUCCAGCUUGGCGACGGCAAGGACGACGUCUGUAGAGGGCGGAGCGGUGAUGGGGAGGACAACGGAUGCCGGCCGGGAUCUGACUGCUGAGGUCGCCGAUUGAGGAGAGAAGAAGCAGCCGGUGGAGGGCAUCGCUCGGGG
rnacentral:lncRNA from 1 species